rnacentral:rRNA from 1 species
CACCUUGACGGUACCUAACCAGAAAGCCACGGCUAACUACGUGCCAGCAGCCGCGGUAAUACGUAGGUGGCAAGCGUUGUCCGGAAUUAUUGGGCGUAAAGGGCUCGCAGGCGGUUUCUUAAGUCUGAUGUGAAAGCCCCCGGCUCAACCGGGGAGGGUCAUUGGAAACUGGGAAACUUGAGUGCAGAAGAGGAGAGUGGAAUUCCACGUGUAGCGGUGAAAUGCGUAGAGAUGUGGAGGAACACCAGUGGCGAAGGCGACUCUCUGGUCUGUAACUGACGCUGAGGAGCGAAAGCGUGGGGAGCGAACAGGAUUAGAUACCCUGGUAGUCCACGCCGUAAACGAUGAGUGCUAAGUGUUAGGGGGUUUCCGCCCCUUAGUGCUGCAGCUAACGCNUUAAGCACUCCGCCUGGGGAGUACGGUCGCAAGANUGAAACUCAAAGGAAUUGNCGGGGGCCCGCACCAGCGGUGGAGCAUGUGGUUUAAUUNGAAGCAACGCGAAGAACCUUACCAGGUCUUGACAUCCUCUGACAACCCNAGAGAUAGGGCUUUCCCUUCGGGGACAGAGUGACAGGUGGU